AGCGAACGCUGGCGGCAGGCCUAACACAUGCAAGUCGAACGAACCUUUCGGGGUUAGUGGCGGACGGGUGAGUAACACGUGGGAACGUGCCUUUAGGUUCGGAAUAACUCAGUGAAACUUGUGCUAAUACCGAAUGUGCCCUUCGGGGGAAAGAUUACUCGCCUUUAGAGCGGCCCGCGUCUGAUUAGCCAGUUGGUUGAGGUAAUGGCUCACCAAGGCGACGAUCAGUAGCUGGUCUGAGAGGAUGAUCAGCCACAUUGGGACUGAGACACGGCCCAAACUCCUGCGGGAGGCAGCAGUGGGGAAUCUUGCGCAAUGGGCGAAAGCCUGACGAAGCCAUGCCGCGUGAAUGAUGAAGGUCUUAGGAUUGUAAAAUUCUUUCACCGGGGACGAUAAUGACGGUACCCGGAGAAGAAGCCCCGGCUAACUUCGUG
rnacentral:rRNA from 1 species